CAAGUCGAACGGCAGCACGGGUGCUUGCACCUGGUGGCGAGUGGCGAACGGGUGAGUAAUACAUCGGAACGUACCUUAUCGUGGGGGAUAACGCAGCGAAAGCUGUGCUAAUACCGCAUACGCCCUGAGGGGGAAAGCGGGGGAUCGCAAGACCUCGCGCGAUUAGAGCGGCCGAUGCCUGAUUAGCUUGUUGGUGGGGUAAAAGCCCACCAAGGCGACGAUCAGUAGCUGGUCUGAGAGGACGAUCAGCCACACUGGGACUGAGACACGGCCCAGACUCCUACGGGAGGCAGCAGUGGGGAAUUUUGGACAAUGGGGGCAACCCUGAUCCAGCAAUGCCGCGUGAGUGAAGAAGGCCUUCGGGUUGUAAAGCUCUUUUGUCAGGGAAGAAACACCGGCUCUAACACAGUCCGGGAAUGACGGUACCUGAAGAAUAAGCACCGGCUAACUACGUGCCAGCAGCCGCGGUAAUACGUAGGGUGCGAGCGUUAAUCGGAAUUACUGGGCGUAAAGCGUGCGCAGGCGGUUAUACAAGACAGGCGUGAAAUCCCCGGGCUUAACCUGGGAAUGGCGCCUGUGACUGUAUAGCUAGAGUGUGUCAGAGGGGGGUAGAAUUCCACGUGUAGCAGUGAAAUGCGUAGAUAUGUGGAGGAAUACCAAUGGCGAAGGCAGCCCCCUGCGAUAACACUGACGCUCAUGCACGAAAGCGUGGGGAGCAAACAGGAUUAGAUACCCUGGUAGUCCACGCCCUAAACGAUGCUGACUAGUUGUUCGGGAUUUACAUCCUGAGUAACGUAGCUAACGCGUGAAGUCAGCCGCCUGGGGAGUACGGUCGCAAGAUUAAAACUCAAAGGAAUUGACGGG
rnacentral:rRNA from 1 species